CGAGUUAGCGAGACAAUCGCUGCUUGUUCGUUGUAUUUAUCAUUUCGAUGUUAAAUAGACAGGGCAAGGGGAGGAAAGUCCGGGCUCCAAAGAGCAGGGUGCCAGAUAACGUCUGGGCGGCGCAAGCCGACGACAAGUGCAGCAGAGAGAAGACCGCCGAUGGCUAGCAAUAGCACAGGUAAGGCUGAAAGGGUGCGGUAAGAGCGCACCGGGCCACUGGUAACAGUUGGCAGCAGGGUAAACUCCACCCGGAGCAAGACCAAAUAGGGUUUCAUACGGCGUGGCUCGCGUUGAAACCGGGUAGGUUGCUUGAGCCUUAGAGCGAUUUAAGGCCUAGACGAAUGAUUGUCACUUUUCUACGGAAAAGACACAGAACCCGGCUUAUGUGCUAACUCAUCAA
rfam:Thalassotalea sp. PP2-459 NODE_1_length_214363_cov_31.674402, whole genome shotgun sequence.